rnacentral:rRNA from 1 species
GAGUUUGAUCGUGGCUCAGAACGAACGCUGGCGGCAUGCCUAACACAUGCAAGUCGAACGAAGUCUUCGGACUUAGUGGCGCACGGGUGCGUAACGCGUGGGAAUCUGCCCUUGGGUACGGAAUAACUCAGAGAAAUUUGUGCUAAUACCGUAUAAUGUCUUCGGACCAAAGAUUUAUCGCCCAAGGAUGAGCCCGCGUAAGAUUAGCUAGUUGGUGAGGUAAGAGCUCACCAGGGCGACGAUCUUUAGCUGGUCUGAGAGGAUGAUCAGCCACACUGGGACUGAGACACGGCCCAGACUCCUACGGGAGGCAGCAGUGGGGAAUAUUGGACAAUGGGCGAAAGCCUGAUCCAGCAAUGCCGCGUGAGUGAUGAAGGCCUUAGGGUUGUAAAGCUCUUUUACCCGGGAUGAUAAUGACAGUACCGGGAGAAUAAGCUCCGGCUAACUCCGUGCCAGCAGCCGCCGU